UUGAAACUUCGGUCGAUUCUAGUGAAGGACAGCGGCGAACGGGAGAGUAACGCGUGGAGUAUCUGCCCUUAAGCCUGGGAUAGCUGCGGGAAACUGCAGGUAAUACCGGAUAAUGUCUUCGGACCAAAGGUGUGAUUCCGCUUAAGGAUGGCUCCGCGUCCUAUUAGCUUGUUGGCGAGGUAACGGCUCACCAAGGCUACGAUGGGUACCGGGUGUGAGAGCAUGACCCGGCUCACUGGGACUGAGACACUGCCCAGACACCUACGGGUGGCUGCAGUCGAGAAUCUUCGGCAAUGGACGCAAGUCCGACCGAGCGACGCCGCGUGCGGGAUGAAGGCCUUCGGGUUGUAAACCGCUGUCAGUGGGGAGGAAAUCCCAAGGAGCUAUCUUCUUGGGUUGACCUAUCUUCAGAGGAAGUGCGGGCUAAGUUCGUGCCAGCAGCCGCGGUAAUACGAACCGCACGAACGUUAUUCGGAAUCACUGGGCUUAAAGGGUGCGUAGGCGGCCAUGCAAGUUGGGUGUGAAAUCCCUCGGCUCAACCGAGGAAUUGCGCUCAAAACUGCACGGCUUGAGGGAGAUAGAGGUGAGCGGAACUUGCGGUGGAGCGGUGAAAUGCGUUGAUAUCGCAAGGAACACCAGUUGCGAAAGCGGCUCACUGGGUCUCUUCUGACGCUGAGGCACGAAAGCUAGGGGAGCGAAGAGGAUUAGAUACCCUCGUAGUCCUAGCUGUAAACGUUGAGCACUUGGGUUGGGGAAUCCUCCAUAGUUUCCCAGCCGUAGCGAAAGUGGUAAGUGCUCCGCCUGGGGAGUAUGGUCGCAAGGCU
rnacentral:rRNA from 1 species